rnacentral:rRNA from 1 species
UAGGGAAUCUUCGGCAAUGGGGGGAACCCUGACCGAGCAACGCCGCGUGAGUGAAGAAGGUUUUCGGAUCGUAAAGCUCUGUUGUUAAGGAAGAACGAGUGUGAGAAUGGAAAGUUCAUGCUGUGACGGUACUUAACCAGAAAGGGACGGCUAACUACGUGCCAGCAGCCGCGGUAAUACGUAGGUCCCGAGCGUUGUCCGGAUUUAUUGGGCGUAAAGCGAGCGCAGGCGGUUAGAAAAGUCUGAAGUGAAAGGCAGUGGCUCAACCAUUGUAGGCUUUGGAAACUGUUUAACUUGAGUGCAGAAGGGGAGAGUGGAAUUCCAUGUGUAGCGGUGAAAUGCGUAGAUAUUAGGAGGAAUACCGGUGGCGAAGGCGACUUUCUGGACUUUUACUGACGCUCAGGUACGAAAGCGUGGGGAGCAAACAGG